GAUGAACGCUAGCGGCAGGCCUAAUACAUGCAAGUCGAACGGUGUCUUCGGACAUAGUGGCGCACGGGUGCGUAACACGUAUGCAACCUACCUUACAUUGGGGGAUAGCCUUUCGAAAGGGAGAUUAAUACCGCAUAAGACAGUAGCUGGGCAUCCAGCAGCUGUUAAAGAUUUAUCGAUGUAAGCUGGGCAUGCGUCCAAUUAGCUAGUUGGUGAGGUAACGGCUCACCAAGGCAAUGAUUGGUAGGGGAACUGAGAGGUCAAUCCCCCACACUGGCACUGAGGUACGGGCCAGACUCCUACGGGAGGCAGCAGUAGGGAAUAUUGGGCAAUGGACGCAAGUCUGACCCAGCCAUGCCGCGUGCAGGAUGAAGGCGUUAUGCGUUGUAAACUGCUUUUAUACAGGAAGAAACGAUUCUUGCGAGAGGCAUUGACGGUACUGUAUGAAUAAGCACCGGCUAACUCCGUGCCAGCCGCCGCCGUAAUAC
rnacentral:rRNA from 1 species